CCUCACUGUUUUUAUAGAUGGGCGGGCCUCUGUGGCUCUAAACAUUUUCUGACUUUCCAGUUACGCAAAAUGUUGCUAAGCUGGGUGAUUAGUUUGGGUGGUCUGGCAUCAAAUGACGGCAGGUUUUCAAGCAACAAGAUGUGUUUCUGUUGUGGUGGAUAGAGGAAGAGAGGAGUAUUGAAGUAUUUCUUACUAAGAAAUGA
rnacentral:lncRNA from 1 species